UUAAACUUUGAACCCAGCUACUCGUAUAGACUCGUCUAAAUUAUGAAUCCCAAAACUUUGUUACUUGUCUCUGCUGUUUUAAUAUUUGGUCAAAGCUAUGGUGAAGCCAAUCUCAUCAGACCAUCAGGUAAAACCUCUGUGUCUAUAACUGAAGGACAUAACGUCACACUGUCCUGUACAUAUGAUGGAUCAGCUUACAGUCUUCACUGGUACCGACAGAUGUCUGGAUCAAGACCCGAGUUUCUAGUGCUGAUAGUUGAGUCUACAAAAACUGUGAUAUCAUCUACUCCACAUCAACCACACAUGUCCAUCAGACUCCAGAAUAAACAAGUUGAUCUGGAGAUCUCAUCUGCUGCUGUAUUAGACUCUGCUCUCUAUUACUGUGCCAUAGAGCCCACAGUGACAGGAAACACAACAACACUGUACAAAAACAUUUACACCUUUCUUUAA